rnacentral:lncRNA from 1 species
AAGAGAUCCGCCCCAGCGAGGCAUCGCCCCGCGCACACUGAUCCGGCCUUUGGGCACGUCAUCCUUUUUUCGUGUCUUUUCUUUUGGGAGGGAGAGAGAGAGAGCGACUUUGCACGUCCGUGUCCGCUGCGACGGCCGCAAUAAAAAGGCACACCAUGGGCCUACCGCCUAUAUAUGGGCCUCGACGCAAACGCAUCCCAACGACGACGGCGAUGACGCCAUAUUCCUCCGCCGCCAGAGGCAUCCCAACCGACGAUCGACCCCCUUGGGCUCUGCGGCGGCGCCUCUGUGAGUGGGUUGCGACGAUGUGGUGCAAUCUGGCGCCAGAAAAAAUGCCGAAUGAUUCGGUUUGAUACCAGAGGGCGCUUGAGCGGCGGACCUCUUUGGCGACAGCAAUGCCGCGUCCUAGACUUUCCUUGUAUUUUGGCCGUGUGGACCGACCGCCGCGUAUCUGAGGCGCCUCCCAGAACGUAGGCCGGAGAAGGAGGGCCACGUUGCGCGCCGGUCGGAAGGACCAGAGAGCAAGAAACCCACCCAACGGACGCUGUCGCCCACAAGCAACCCCAUUGUUUGGAACUGGCGCCAGAUC